GAGGAGGAGGAGGAAGAAGAAGAAGAAGAAGAGGAGGAAGAAGAAGAAUAGGAGGAGGAGGAAGAAGAAGAAGAGGAGGAGGAAGAAGAAGAAGAAGAAGAGGAGGAGGAGGAGGAGGAAGAAGAAGGAAGAGGAGGAAGAAGAAGAAGAAGAGGAGGAGGAGGAAGAAGAAGAAGAAGAGGAGGAGGAAGAAGAAGAAGAAGAGGAGGAGGAGGAGGAAGAAGAAGAAGGAAGAGGAGGAAGAAGAAGAAUAGGAGGAGGAGGAAGAAGAAGAAGAAGAAUAGGAGGAGGAAGAAGAAGAAGAAGAAGAAGAGGAGGAGGAGGAAGAAUGAGAGAGGAAGGAGGAAGAGGAACACAAAGGCACACAAGGGAGGCACAAACAACAGCAGGUCUGAUCUAAUCCAAGGUGUAAGAUGGACAGCAAAGGCGAAGGGAAGGAAAGGGAACCAAGAAAUUAUGUAGCUUCAACAACAACUUCAACGUCAAUUUUCACCAACUUCCCCUUAUGCAAUUUUAACGUACUUUGCACCAAAAAAUAGCUUAAUCUUUCUACUUUCUUGCGGUUCUUUCGUUUUUUGUUUAUUCCUUUCGGUUUUAUCACAAUUUACGUUUUUAUCAGGUAAUGUGCAUGGCUCGCUCUCCCACCAAGAAAGAAGAUUGAAGACAUGGCUCAAAUUCAAUCUCAAUUUUCACCAACUUCCCCUUAUGCAAUUUUAACGUACUUUGCACCAAAAAAUAGCUUAAUCUUUCUACUUUCUUGUGCUUUUUUCGUUUCCUCUCUACUUAUUUCCAUUUUCUCACAAUUUCCGUUUUUCUAAGGUAAUGUGCAUGGCUCGCUCUCCCACCAAGAAAUAAAUAAUUGGAAAUAUUGCCCAAGUUCAAGGUCAAUUUUUACCAACUUCUCCUAAUGCAACUUUAACGUACUUUGCACCAAAAAAUAGCUUAAUCUUUCUACUUUCUUGUGCUUUUUUCGAUUUCUGUUUAUCCCUUUACGUUUACUCACAAUCUCCGUUUUUCCCAGGUAAUGUGCAUGGCUCAUUCUCCCACCAAGAAAGAUGAUUUAAAAUGUCACUCAAGUUCAACCUCAAUUUUCUCCACUGUCCGCUAACUUAACCCAGCUCACCUUACACCAAAAAAUAGCUUAGUCUUUCUACUUUCUAUCCACACUUUCAUUAUCUUUCUAUCUUUUUCCGUUUUCCCACAAUCUCCAUUUUUACCAGGUAAGGUGCACGCCUCGCUCUCCAACCAUGAAAAAAAAUUGAAAACAUCACUCAAAUUCAACCUCAAUUUUCUCCACUGUCCACUAACUUAACCUGGCUCACCUUACACCAAAAAAUAGCUUGACCUUUCUACUUUCUAUCCACACUUUCAUUAUCUCUCUAUCCUUUUCCUUUUUCCUACAAUCUCCAUUUUUCCCAGGUAAGGUGCAUGGCUCGCUCCUACCAAGAAGAUUUAAAAUGUCACCCAAGUUUAACCUCAAUUUUCUCCACUGUCCGCUAACUUAAUCCAGCUCACCUUACACCAAAAAAUAGCUUAGUCUUUCUACUUUCUAUCCACACUUUCAUUAUCUUUCUACAUUUUCCCGUUUUCCUACAAUCUCCAUUUUUCCCAGGUAAGGUGCACGCCUCGCUCUCCAACCAUGAAAAAAAAUUGAAAACAUCACUCAAAUUCAACCUCAAUUUCCUCCACUGUCCGCUAACUUAACCCAGCUCACCUAACACCAAAAAAUAGACUAACCUUUCUACUUUCCAUCCACACUUUCAUUAUCUUUCUACAUUUUCCCGUUUUCCCACAAUCUCCAUUUUCCCCGAGGCACUGAAAAACCUUGGAACGUAAGAUUGGGCCCAGCAGGGAGCGGAAAUCUGAAGGAAGGGCAAGGGGGCGAGAAUUGAGAGGAGGGAUUGACGAGAACGGAAGCAUAAUGACGUAAGCAAACUUGGUGAGAGAGGAAGACAGCUCCAUCAAUAAGUCUAUUAACAUUGAAGGCCUGGCAAAGAUUGACGUGAAGGGAAUUGAAGACCUAAUUGAUGAGAAUAGAGGAAAAUAACAGACGUAAGCUUGUGUGUCAUUGUAACAGGAUAGAUGAUAGAGUUGACAGACAGAAGAUGGAAGGAAAUAACAGCCAAGCCCGGUAUUGAUAACUAGGGAUUUUAAUGGCCGUGUCCGAUGCCAAAUUGAUGAGAGCCAUAGAUGCUAACAGGGAAUUGAUUAUUGAUUCACUAGGAAGGUGUAAGCUCAGAAUGGUCUGUGACGUCAACUGCGAGGGGCUGUUUACAUGGUCUGGAGACACAGAAGAGACACAGACUGGGCCCUAGUGACAUCAAUCCCUCCACAAAAAACUGCGAGGGGCUGUUUACAUGGUCUGGAGACACAGAAGAGACACAGACUGGGCCCUGCUGACAUGAAAUCCCUCCACAAAAAACUGCGAGGGGCUGUUUACAUGGUCUGAAUACACACAGAAGAGACACAGACUGGGCCCUGCUGACGUGAAUCCCUCCACAAAAAACUGCGAGGGGCUGUUUACAUGGUCUGGAGACACACAGAAGAGACACAGACUGGGCCCUAGUGACAUGAAUUCCACAGAAAAUAGACCAAAAUGACGAUUGAUCAGGGAACGUUUGAUCUGACGGACUGGAAUGUGACGUAAGCUUUGGGCGGAAAGGGAAACAUUUAACAGGAAAUCACGGAACAGACAAAGCUCCACUAAGAUAUGUGUGGAAGAUCUUAAAGCCAGUGUGUUAUAUGACAGGAUUAAGAACCUAGAACCUGGAACAGAGGGUAAUCAGGACUGCUAAUGGAUAUCUCAAGGCCCAUCACAGGCGGAAGAACAUUGAGGUUGAAGAAGCCAGGGUCGACCCACCAUGGUUGAACAGACGGAUCCAGGAGACAGAGGUGAGGAGGCGGAAGAGGCGGAAGAGGAAGCGGACAAGUGGAAACAGAAGGAUAUGGACCACAAAGAAGAAUUACAAGUAUUAGUUAAAAGGGAGAUGAGAUUUAGCGAUAUACAGAAAGCAGGAUAAUUAAGAAUCUACUAAUGACUGUGAUUAGGACAGGUAUUUAAGAACAAGUUUAAAAGAACCACUGGGGGAAAGAACACCAGGCAGGAUGGAGAACAAUGGAGAACAACCUGCUUAUUCCGAGGCAUAUCCACGAAGAGUUAUAUCGAUUGAGUUUGUGGAAGCAUUUGAUGGGGCAGAAAGAGAGUCAAUGGUUUAGAUGCGAACGGAAUAUGACAUCAAUCAGACAGCUAUUGACCUAAUCACAAAAUUGUAUGGUAGAAGUUGACAGCGGAAUAGACAGGGAUGCUGAACAGAGGGAACAGAGACAAGAACUUUGCGGACAGACGAUGGAACGUUAUUUGCAAGAAGCGUAGAAGAUGCACGAUCCUACAGAGGGUGGUUGAGGAGAUGAGAUUGGGGAUUGAGGAAGGAUAAAUGGAUUGGGACAGUACAGGGAUGAGAGAGUGAAGAUGCUGGUUAACUCUUGCAUAAGGGAUUGGGACAGUACAGGGAUGAAAGAGUGGAGAUGCUGGUUAACUCUUGCAUAAGGGAUUGGGACAGUACAGGGAUGAAAGAGUGAAGAUGCUGGUUAACUCUUGCAUAAGGGAUUGGGACAGUACAGGGAUGAAAGAGUGAAGAUGCUGGUUAACUCUUGCAUAAGGGAUUGGGACAGUACAGGGAUGAGAGAGUGAAGAUGCUGGUUAACUCUUGCAUAAGGGAUUGGGACAGUACAGGGAUGAGAGAGUGAAGAUGCUGGUUAACUCUUGCAUAAGGGAUUGAGAGGGACAGUACAGGGAUGAAAGAGUGAAGAUGCUGGUUAACUCUUGCAUAAGGGAUUGGGACAGUACAGGGAUGAGAGAGUGAAGAUGCUGGUUAACUCUUGCAUAAGGGAUUGGGACAGUACAGGGAUGAAAGAGUGAAGAUGCUGGUUAACUCUUGCAUAAGGGAUUGGGACAGUACAGGGAUGAGAGAGUGAAGAUGCUGGUUAACUCUUGCAUAAGGGAUUGAGACAGUACAGGGAUGAAAGAGUGAAGAUGCUGGUUAACUCUUGCAUAAGGGAUUGGGACAGUACAGGGAUGAGAGAGUGAAGAUGCUGGUUAACUCUUGCAUAAGGGAUUGGGACAGUACAGGGAUGAAAGAGUGAAGAUGCUGGUUAACUCUUGCAUAAGGGAUUGGGACAGUACAGGGAUGAAAGAGUGAAGAUGCUGGUUAACUCUUGCAUAAGGGAUUG